rnacentral:rRNA from 1 species
CCUACGGGAGGCUGCAGUGAGGAAUAUUGGUCAAUGGCCGCAAGCCUGAACCAGCCAAGUAGCGUGAAGGAUGACUGCCCUACGGGUUGUACACUUCUUUUAUACAGGAAUAAAGUGAUGCACGUGUGCCUGUUUGUAUGUACUUUAUGAAUAAGGAUCGGCUAAUUCCGUGCCAGCAGCCGCGGUAAUACGGAGGAUCCGAGCGUUAUCCGGAUUUAUUGGGUUUAAAGGGAGCGUAGAUGGGUUGUUAAGUGUGUUGUGAAAGUUUGCGGCUCAACCGUAAAAUUGCAAUGGAGACUGGCAGCCUUGAGUACAGUGGAGGUAGGCGGAAUUCGUGGUGUAGCGGUGAAAUGCUUAGAUAUCACGAAGAACUCCGAUUGCGAAGGCAGCUUACUAAACUGCCACUGACAUUGAUGCUCGAAAGUGUGGGUAUCAAACAGGAUUAGAUACCCGGGUAGUC